rnacentral:rRNA from 1 species
ACUCAAAGGAAUUGACGGGGGCUCACACAAGCGGUGGAGCAUGUGGCUUAAUUCGAGGCUACGCGAAGAACCUUAUCCUGGGCUUGACAUGUGCGAAAGCGGCAGGGAGUAGGAGCCCGAAAGGGUUUCCCAACGGUAUCCAGUCCGGAGCCUGCUACAGGUGCUGCAUGGCUGUCGUCAGCUCGUGUCGUGAGAUGUCGGGUUAAGUCCCAUAACGAGCGAAACCCUUGUCCGCAGUUGCCAACAGGUAAUGCUGGGGACUCUGCGGAGACUGCCGGCGUCAAGCCGGAGGAAGGUGGGGAUGACGUCAAGUCCUCAUGGCCUUUAUGCCCAGGGCUGCACACGUGCUACAAUGGCGUGGACAAAGGGACGCCAACGCGCGAGCGGGAGCCAAUCCCAAAAAGCACGCCCCAGUUCAGAUCGCAGGCUGCAACUCGCCUGCGUGAAGUUGGAAUCGCUAGUAAUCGCGGGUCAGCACACCGCGGUGAAUGUGUUCCUGAGCCUUGCACACACCGCCCGU